AUGCAUGUGGUGUAGUGGUUUGAGUGCUGGACUAUGACUCUGAAGACCAGGGUUCGAUUCCCAGCUUGGCUA